GAGGGUCUUUGGCUCAGUAGUAGAGCUUCUGUUUUAUAUACAGAGGGUCACAUGUUCAAUCCUCUGCAUCUCA
rnacentral:tRNA from 1 species